GGUGGCUCAGUGGUAGAGUGCUUGUCUUGCAUGCAUGAGGCCAUGGGUUCGAUUCCUUAGCACCA
rnacentral:tRNA from 1 species